ensembl:misc_RNA Metazoa_SRP Metazoan signal recognition particle RNA
GCCGGGUGCGGUGGCUCACGCCUGUAAUCCCAGCACUUUGGGAGGCCGAGGCUGGUGGAUCACCUGAGGUCAGGACCUCAGAGAUCGGCCUGACCAACAUGGUGAAACCCUGUCUCUA